UACGUAGGGUGCAAGCGUUAAUCGGAAUUACUGGGCGUAAAGCGUGCGCAGGCGGUCUUGCAAGACAGAUGUGAAAUCCCCGGGCUAACCUGGGAACUGCAUUUGUGACUGCAUGGCUGGAGUGUGGCAGAGGGGGAUGGAAUUCCGGCGUGUAGCAGUGAAAUGCGUAGAUAUGCGGAGGAACACCGAUGGCGAAGGCAAUCCCCUGGGCCUGCACUGACGCUCAUGCACGAAAGCGUGGGGAGCAAACAGG
rnacentral:rRNA from 1 species